rnacentral:rRNA from 1 species
CAGGAGAGCUUGCUCUCUGGGUGACGAGCGGCGGACGGGUGAGUAAUGUCUGGGAAACUGCCUGAUGGAGGGGGAUAACUACUGGAAACGGUAGCUAAUACCGCAUAACGUCUUCGGACCAAAGUGGGGGACCUUCGGGCCUCACGCCAUCAGAUGUGCCCAGAUGGGAUUAGCUAGUAGGUGGGGUAAUGGCUCACCUAGGCGACGAUCCCUAGCUGGUCUGAGAGGAUGACCAGCCACACUGGAACUGAGACACGGUCCAGACUCCUACGGGAGGCAGCAGUGGGGAAUAUUGCACAAUGGGCGCAAGCCUGAUGCAGCCAUGCCGCGUGUGUGAAGAAGGCCUUCGGGUUGUAAAGCACUUUCAGCGAGGAGGAAGGGUGGUGUGUUAAUAGCGCAUCACAUUGACGUUACUCGCAGAAGAAGCACCGGCUAACUCCGUGCCAGCAGCCGCGGUAAUACGGAGGGUGCAAGCGUUAAUCGGAAUUACUGGGCGUAAAGCGCACGCAGGCGGUUUGUUAAGUCAGAUGUGAAAUCCCCGCGCUUAACGUGGGAACUGCAUUUGAAACUGGCAAGCUAGAGUCUUGUAGAGGGGGGUAGAAUUCCAGGUGUAGCGGUGAAAUGCGUAGAGAUCUGGAGGAAUACCGGUGGCGAA